AGUGAACGCUGGCGGUAGGCCUAACACAUGCAAGUCGAACGGCAGCACAGGAGAGCUUGCUCUCUGGGUGGCGAGUGGCGGACGGGUGAGGAAUACAUCGGAAUCUACUUUUUCGUGGGGGAUAACGUAGGGAAACUUACGCUAAUACCGCAUACGACCUACGGGUGAAAGCAGGGGACCUUCGGGCCUUGCGCGAUUGAAUGAGCCGAUGUCGGAUUAGCUAGUUGGCGGGGUAAAGGCCCACCAAGGCGACGAUCCGUAGCUGGUCUGGGAGAAUGAUCGGCGACACUGGAACUGAGACACGGGCCAGACUCCUACGGGAGGCAGCAGUGGGGAAUAUUGGACAAUGGGCGGAAGCCUGAUCCAGCCAUACCGCGUGGGUGAAGAAGGCCUUCGGGUUGUAAAGCCCUUUUGUUGGGAAAGAAAUCCAGCUGGCUAAUACCCGGUUGGGAUGACGGUACCCAAAGAAUAAGCACCGGCUAACUUCGUGCCAGCAGCCGCCGUAA
rnacentral:rRNA from 1 species